rnacentral:lncRNA from 1 species
GACUGGUUUUAGGGGCCAUGUCAACUACAAUGGACCAUGGCUAGCUUCAGUGGGCCAUAUUGGUUUCAAUAGGUAGCUACAAUGGAUCAUGGCUGACUUCAGCGGAUCAUAUAAGCUUCAGUGGGUCGUGUCGGCUUCAGUAGGCUAGGUUAGCUACAAUGGACCAUGAUUAACUUUAGUGGGCCAUGGUUGACUUUAGUCGGUUGCAGUGGAUCGU